UCUCGGGAGUCGGGCUGUAGCGCAGCGGGUUAAGCGCAGGUGGUGCAAAGCACAAGGACCGGCAUAAGGAUCCUGGUUCGAACCCCAGCUCCCCACCUGCAGGGGAGUCACUUCACAGGCGGUGAAGCAGGUCUGCAGGUGUCUAUCUUUCUCUCCUCCUUUCUGUCUUCCCCUCCUCUCUCCAUUUCUCUCUGUCCUAUCCAACAACGACAACAACAAUAAUAACUACAACAAUAAAAAAAACAACAAGGGCAACAAAAGGGAAUAAAUAAAUAAAUAAAUAAUUUAAAAAAAGAAAAAGAAAAAAAAGUGGAAAUAUCUCUAAACAGAACAAACAAAACAGGCCUUUCCUUAAAAAGCAGAGCCCACUGGGCAUAGUUUAACUUCCGGAAGACCUAGGACCACCAUUAUAAAUAAAUCACCCUGGCCUGUGAUCACAGCCGUUCAGGGAGUUCCACAGUUUGACAGUGAGGUCUCUGCACUUGACACCAAUGUGCUGCUUUUCAUUCCCAGGGCUUGUGCUUGCUUUUUAUAGCCUUUCUGUCCUUUCUGUCAGCUGCCAUCUGCCUGAACUGACAGUGCCUGGCCUCUGGCGGCCCUCCCUGCCUAUCAUCUCUCUCUACACAAGCCGUGGUGUUGCAGAGAAUGAGAGAAUCGUGCAAAAUCUCUUCUCAGGGUCUUUCUGCACCUCAGCCUCCAGGAAUCCACUCCACUCCCCUUGAUCUGUAUGCACUGAUCCCUUGCUGUGCUGCCAUCACAGCUUGCUCAGGGCAAAAGUAAGCUCCCUUCAGUUAAGUCUCCUGUCCUACUCUGGCCCGCCUGCUGCUUUGUUCUUUGCUUCAGGCUCAGCCACGCACUGCUCUGCUCUCCUCUCUCCCAAACAUUUAUGUUGAGGUCUUUGGCUUUCUGCCCAAGGGAUCACAUUUUCAUCCUCAUACUACUGCCUUGAUGGGGGACUGGAACAAAUAGUGGAAAUGUCUGAAACAGGGAAGCCAAGGCAUGAUGGGCUGAUUUCCACACCUUCACAGGGUCAGGUCUGUGACGGGGUGCCAGAAGAAGAGAUGGUUCCGAAGCAGUGAACUGUGACUCUACCUCAAAAUCUUUGUAGCUGCAUCACCAAAGAACCAGUGGGUUGAGGAGUCAGGUGGUAGCACAGCGGGUUAAGCGCAUGUGGCACAGAGCGCAGGGACCGGCGUAAGGAUUCCAAUUUGAGCCCCCAGCUCCCCACCUGCAGGGGGUCGCUUCACAGGCGGUGAAGCAGGUCUGCAGGUGUCUAUCUUUCUCUCCCCCUCUCUGUCUUCCCCUCCUCUCUCCAUUUCUCUCUGUCCUAUCUAACAAUGACACCAUCAA